AAUAGGGUCAGUAACUUUGUGAGUUGGAUAUUGAUUAUAUUCUGUAAUUUUAACAUUAUUUAUAUGUUUUUAGCAUGCUCAUGCAUUUUAUAAAUAUAGUUUCAUGCUCAGCUAAAUAAAUUAGAAGCACUCUUAUUGUUACAUAUUUAUUUAUAGAUAAUUAUUUGUAUUUGCCGCCUUGGGAAUAAUUUAGAGUUGUGCGUAAGUGCGUUAUAUGUAUAUAUAGUAAAUGAUGGAUAUGAAUUGGACCAGUAGUCGCGACUCAAACUAAUUUCGUUGAACCCUAUCCUUAUAGAUAUGGAAAGUCGAGGUAAGGCACGGCUCUGAGUUGAGUGAAAGUCCGAUUUGAGUUGAGCUCGCUGGUGAGAUUUGAAUUGAAAGAGCUGUAUAGUGGAUUAACUUUCAUAUUUAUGCAUUAAUGUGAUAUACUGGGUGCGUGAGUAACUCCCAUAUUUGUUAUAUGUGUUAGAUAUGCAUUUUAUAAUAAAACUGCGUUGGUUUUAGGUAGUUGAAAUUACAUUUGUAAUCAACAUCUAAACUCGCUAAGUUGAACGCUCACUUUUGUUCAAUUAUUUUUCCUUAGGUAACAGGUGAAUAUUAUUUUAGUAGUGAACAUGUUUUAUUUGUCACAUGAAAACUUAAACUAGUAAUGUAUUAACUGUAUUUAUUAUUUUUUUAUAUAUAAAAACCUGCAUUGAUUGUUUUAGAUGUACUUAUGAUGUAAAAUUAAUUUAAUAAACUUAGCAUGUAAUUGUGAUAUUGGAUUUUAGGGUUAGUUGAGCUCCCGAUAUGAUAUCGGAUAUGAAUUGAGUUUUUUUUUUCGUUGAAUUAUUCAAUUUAUUGCUGGACUUUGUUUUCUUGAGUUAACCCUCUAUUUUGGAUUUAGUUAUUGGGUGGGUUUAAUUGUUAGGUACUAACCCAGCGCCGGUCUGGUUAAAAAGUCAGGUUGUGACACUUUUAAUCCUAACAUUUAAUUUUUUAGGUUUAAUUUCAAUCACUGAAUAUAAAGUUUGUUGAAAAUAUUAUGGACAAAAUUAUGUACAUCUUAAUUUUGUUUAUUGAUUUUUGGGGUUUAAUUUUUAUCAUAAGAUUUAAAGAAAAAAAAUUAUCCAAUUUAAUCUCAACCCUUCAUUUCUUUUAAUCUUAAAAUCUGCCACCAUUAAUUUUAGAGUUUUCCCAUUUCCCUCUUCCCCAUCAGCUUGAGAUUUCUGUCUCAUAUCUGCCUCCACCCGCAGAGCAUGCCCCAUCGACACAUCAAACUAUCUAACCCAUUCCACUCGGCUCCUCCUCGCUAAUGCGCGCGGAGAGAACCCUUCGAGACCCACCUAGACGCUUCCUCACGUCCAUUCCCUCUUCUCCUUUGGCUUUCAACAGAGACCCAUUUCAGUUUGGCUCAUCUCCUUUGAAUUCCGGGCGUACCUCUCUUCUUCCUCGAUCCUGUUUCGAUUCCAAUGGUGCAAGGCCCAAUUUUGCUCAAGCCAAAUGACCACUGAUUGGACAAUCUGCCAUCAUCACAGAACUUCGUUAAGCUUCUAUAUGAAGUUAGAAUUAUCAAUUUUGAGAAAUGAAGCCAAAGGCAUUAGCCGAAGCAUGCCAUACAUCAUAAGAAGAGGUCAGGCCAAUUAUAUAAAGAAACACUUCUUUAGAGAGGGAAGAUAGAAGCCAAGUGAGAAGCAUCUGGUCCUUGUUGAACCAAGUUUCAUAGCCAGGAUUUGGAAUUUGUUUAGCGGUAGCAAAGGCAUUUGCAAUUGUCUUGGAUGGGGGGGAAGAGGAGCCACCAAUGAAUUCAUUCAGAUUUUGUUAAUUGAGAAGGGGUAAAAGCUGAAUGUUCUUGGCCGGGUAGCUCUUUGUUGCGAGUUUAACAGAGAAACUAUGAUGAGUGGAAGUAGUAGGCGACAAUGGAGAAGAGAGGCAUUAGAAGAUGAACUCAUGAUUUUGAAGAUUGCUCUAAUACCAUGUAAAAUAUGUGAUAUUGCAUUGCUUGUAUCGUUGUAUAAGAGAUGGUAAAACAUAUAUAUGAGCAGAUUGUACAAGAUAAA